GCCGCGCACAAGAGCACGGAAAGAAGGGGAAGGAAGAGAGGAAAAGGAGGGAAGCUUACCUUCACCUCCGGUGACUUCGUCGGAGAGCAGUCACGGUGAAGACAAGGUGGUGUCCGCGGCUCUAUUUCAGGAAAAUCGGAGAGAAGGAGAGAGGGAAGAGGCCGAUGUCUGGUCUCAAGGGAGAAGGGUAUUCUUAUAGGGGGCCCUAGGACUCCGAGGGGUCCUAGGAGACCUGAUCUAGCCC
rnacentral:lncRNA from 1 species